rnacentral:rRNA from 1 species
CAAGAUGAGGUCUCGUUGGACGACAGUCCUGAAGCCCCCUGGAAGACGACCAGGUUGAUAGGCCGGAUGUGUAAGGCGGGUAACCGUCUUAGCUAACCGGUACUAACGGGCGAAAGCUUGGCCAC